rnacentral:piRNA from 1 species
GACCCCAUCAAGUGCACAGCGUCCAGUC